rnacentral:rRNA from 1 species
UUGAACGCUGGCGGCAUGCCUUACACAUGCAAGUCGAACGGCAGCACGGGAGCAAUCCUGGUGGCGAGUGGCGAACGGGUGAGUAAUAUAUCGGAACGUGCCCAGUCGUGGGGGAUAACGUAGCGAAAGCUACGCUAAUACCGCAUACGAUCUAUGGAUGAAAGCGGGGGAUCGCAAGACCUCGCGCGAUUGGAGCGGCCGAUAUCAGAUUAGGUAGUUGGUGAGGUAAAGGCUCACCAAGCCGACGAUCUGUAGCUGGUCUGAGAGGACGACCAGCCACACUGGGACUGAGACACGGCCCAGACUCCUACGGGAGGCAGCAGUGGGGAAUUUUGGACAAUGGGCGCAAGCCUGAUCCAGCAAUGCCGCGUGCAGGAUGAAGGCCUUCGGGUUGUAAACUGCCUUUGUACGGAACGAAACGGUGAGCUCUAAUACAGUUUGCUAAUGACGGUACCGUAAGAAUAAGCACCGGCUAACUACGUG